rnacentral:rRNA from 1 species
CACAAGCGGUGGAGUAUGUGGUUUUAAUUCGAUGCAACGCGAAGAACCUUACCUAGGUUUGACAUCCGGAAGACCUUCCCGAAAAGGAAGGGUGCCCUUCGGGGAAUUCCGAGACAGGUGCUGCAUGGCUGUCGUCAGCUCGUGCCGUGAGGUGUUGGGUUAAGUCCCGCAACGAGCGCAACCCCCUAUUGCCAGUUGCUACCAGGUAAUGCUGGGCACUCUGGUGAGACUGCCCCGGUUAACGGGGAGGAAGGUGGGGACGACGUCAAGUCAUCAUGGCCCUUACGCCUAGGGCUACACACGUACUACAAUGGCGCAUACAAAGGGCAGCGAUACCGCGAGGUGGAGCCAAUCCCAUAAAACCGAUCGUAGUCCGGAUCGCAGUCUGCAACUCGACUGCGUGAAGUCGGAAUCGCUAGUAAUCGUGAAAUCAGAAUGUCACGGUGAAUACGUUCCCGGGCCUU